CUUGUUCUCUCUGCCUGGCCUGGGGGCUGCUGUGGUGUUGGUGGGUCACAAGCCUUCAGAGGUGUCACUUGGGGUGUCUCCUCAGCAGAUGUUGGGGGUUCUGGCUUGUGCUUGGUGCCAGGGGGGUCCUUGACGGGGCCCUUUUGGGUCCCCUGUGACCUCAGAGAGGCAUGGGGACAGGGGCUGGCAAGGGACAUGCUGAGCUGCCCCCUGAGCGUGUCCCCACUGUCCCUGCAGAUGAAGCGAGCCCUGGUGCUGGGGGCCUCGGCCCUGCUCAUCCUAGCUCUGAACCAGAACGCCAUCCGGGAGCUGGAUGUGUCCCAGCUCCUCGCCAAGCCCGUCAUCGUCAUCCAGUCCUCCGACAACGUCACCAGGCUGCUGGGAGCGCUGCUGCGUGGGCUCCGGGCCACAGCAAAGAUCACAUACCAGGCGGUGCUGCUGGAGAACCUGGGGGUGACCCUCACCCUGUGGUCCACGUGUGGCCUGUCCCGAGGGGGCCUCUACGGGGAGUGGCAGGGGGUCAUCUGCCCCGGGGAGAGCAGCUCGCAGGUCCAGAAGUACCUGCAGCAGCUGUGGAACACCAUCCUGCUGAUUGCCCUGCUGCUCUGCACCGGGGUCAUGGUGCAGGCACAACGCCAGUCGCGGCAGGACCUGUCAGAGCGGGAUGCUGAGGUG
rnacentral:lncRNA from 1 species